UACGGAGGGUCCAAGCGUUGUUCGGAAUCACUGGGCGUAAAGCGCGUGUAGGCGGUUUCGUCAGUCGGAUGUGAAAUCCCGGGGCUCAACCCCGGACGUGCAUCCGAUACUGCGAAACUAGAAUCCCGGAGGGGGUGGCGGAAUUCCUGGUGUAGAGGUGAAAUUCGUAGAUAUCAGGAGGAACACCCGUGGCGAAGGCGGCCACCUGGACGGGCAUUGACGCUGAGACGCGAAAGCGUGGGUAGCAAACAGG
rnacentral:rRNA from 1 species